GACGAACGCUGGCGGCGUGCUUAACACAUGCAAGUCGAACGGAAAGGCCCUGCUUUUGUGGGGUGCUCGAGUGGCGAACGGGUGAGUAACACGUGAGUAACCUGCCCUUGACUUUGGGAUAACUUCAGGAAACUGGGGCUAAUACCGGAUAGGAGCUCCUGCUGCAUGGUGGGGGUUGGAAAGUUUCGGCGGUUGGGGAUGGACUCGCGGCUUAUCAGCUUGUUGGUGGGGUAGUGGCUUACCAAGGCUUUGACGGGUAGCCGGCCUGAGAGGGUGACCGGCCACAUUGGGACUAAGAUACGGCCCAGACUCCUACGGGAGGCAGCAGUGGGGAAUAUUGCACAAUGGGCGGAGGCCUGAUGCAGCAACGCCGCGUGCGGGAUGACGGCCUUCGGGUUGUAAACCGCUUUCGCCUGUGACGAAGCGUGAGUGACGGUAAUGGGUAAAGAAGCACCGGCUAACUACGUG
rnacentral:rRNA from 1 species